GUUCCAUCCUGGCAAAGAACAUGUCUAUAUUUUAUCCAAGCCUGGCUUUUCCAGGGCAAGGCUUAUCCAUUGCACUUCAGAUGUGCUGACCUCUGCGAUUUCUCCAAAUGCGGGGGAAAUUUGACUGCAUAAUUUGUGGUAGUGGGGGACUGCCUUCGCACGCUCCCCUG